GGCCCUGGGUGUCAGACUGGUACACUCAGAUGGAGGAACUGGAGUUACUAGUGCAGGAAGUGAAACCAGAUAUUAUAGGGAUAACUGAAACCUGGUGGAAUAGUACUCAUGACUGGAGCACGGGUAUUGAAGGCUAUGUGCUGUUUAGGAAAGACAGAAAGAAAGGCAAAGGUGGUGGAGUAGCCUUGUACAUCAAUGAUGACAUUAACUGUAGCGAAAUAAGAAGCGAUGGAAUGGAUAAGACAGAGUCUGUCUGGGCGAAAAUCACAUUGGGUAAAAAAGCAACUAGAGCUUCCCCUGAGAUAGUGCUUGGCGUGUGCUACAGACCGCCGGGAUCUGAUUGGGAUAUGGAUAGAGACCUCUUUAAUGUCUUUAAUGAAGUAAACACAAAGGGGAAAUGUGUGAUUAUGGGGGACUUCAACUUCCCGGAUAUAGACUGGAGGACGAGUACUUGCAAGAAUAAUAGGGGUCAGAUUUUUCUGGAUGUGAUAGCGGAUGGAUUUCUUCAUCAAGUAGUUGAAGUACCUACGAGAGGAGAUGCCAUUUUAGAUUUGGUGUUGGUGAGCAGUGAGGACCUCGUAGAAGAAAUGGUGGUAGGGGACAACCUUGGUUCGAGUGAUCAUGAGCUGAUUCAGUUCAAACUAGAUGGAAGGAUAAACAAAUGUAGAUCUGGGAUUAGGGUUUUUGACUUCUCGAGGGCUAAUUUUAAAGAGUUAAGGAAAUUAGUUAGGGAAGUGGAUUGGACGGAGGAAUUAGUGGAUUUAAAUGCGGAGGAGGCCUGGAAUUACUUUAAGUCGCAGCUGCGGAGACUGUCGGAAGCCUGCAUCCCGAGAAAGGGGAAAAAAACCAUGGGCAGGAGUUGUAGGCCAAACUGGAUGAGCAAACAACUCAGAGAGGGGAUUAGACAAAAGCAGACAGCUUACAGGGAGUGGAAGAAAGGCAGGAUCAGUAAGGAAAGCUACCUUGGUGAGGUCAGAACGUGUAGGGAUAAAGUGAGGAAGGCUAAAAGCCGCAUUGAACUGGACCUUGCAAAGGGAAUCAAAACCAAUAGUAAAAGGUUCUACAGCCACAUAAAUAAGAAGAAAACAAAGAAAGAAGAAGUGGGGCCGCUAUACACUGAGGAUGGAAUGGAGGUUAAGGAUAACCUAGGCAUGGCCCAACAUCUAAACAAGUACUUUGCUUCAGUUUUUAAUAAGACUAGUGAGGAACCUUGCGAUGAUGGAGGGAUGAUAAACGGGAAUGUGGAUAUGGAAGUGGAUAUUACCGCAACUGAGGUAGAGGCCGUACUUGAACAGCUCGAUGGGACGAAGUCGGAGGGCCCGGACAAUCUCCAUCCGAGGAUAUUAAAGGAACUGGCGCGUGAAAUUGCGAGCCCGUUAGCGAGAAUUUUUAAGCAAUCGAUAAACUCGGGGGUUGUGCCGUAUGACUGGAGGAUUGCUAAUGUAGUUCCUAUUUUUAAGAAAGGGAAUAAAAGUGAUCCGGGUAAUUAUAGGCCUGUUAGCUUGACGUCUGUAGUAUGCAAGGUCUUGGAAAAAAUUUUAAGGGAGAAAGUAGUCAAGGACAUAGAGGUCAAUGGUAAUUGGGACGAAUUGCAACACGGAUUUAGUAAAGGUAGAUCG
ensembl:lncRNA